rnacentral:rRNA from 1 species
AUACGGAGGGGGUUAGCGUUGUGCGGAAUUACUGGGCGUAAAGCGCACGUAGGCGGAUUGGAAAGUUGGGGGUGAAAUCCCAGGGCUCAACCCUGGAACUGCCUCCAAAACUAACAGUCUAGAGUUCGAGAGAGGUGAGUGGAAUUCCAAGUGUAGAGGUGAAAUUCGUAGAUAUUUGGAGGAACACCAGUGGCGAAGGCGGCUCACUGGCUCGAUACUGACGCUGAGGUGCGAAAGCGUGGGGAGCAAACAGGAUUAGAUACCCUAGUAGUCC